rnacentral:rRNA from 1 species
UACGGAGGGUGCGAGCGUUAAUCGGAAUUACUGGGCGUAAAGGGCUCGUAGGCGGUUUGUCACGUCGGGAGUGAAAUCUUACAGCUUAACUGUGAACUUGCUUUCGAUACGGGCAGACUUGAGGCAUUCAGGGGAGAACGGAAUUCCUGGUGUAGCGGUGAAAUGCGCAGAUAUCAGGAGGAACACCGGUGGCGAAGGCGGUUCUCUGGGAAUGUUCUGACGCUGAGGAGCGAAAGUGUGGGGAGCGAACAGGAUUAGAUACCCUGGUAGU